GCCGCCGCACCUCUGCUCUUAAGGUAAUUUGAUGCGGAUUUUUUUCCGUUCUUAACCGAUUAGUAGGUGUACAUACAUGUCAACGUGAUGGAUUUGAUGCAGAUUUGUUGCUGUUGUACAUGAAUAUAAGUGUGUGUAGAACUGUAGAUGAACUCGCUGCUGUACAUGAAUACAAGUGUGUGUAGAUGAUUGAUGAAACAAUGGCUAUAAGUGUGUGUUGAUAUAGAUUUCUUGCUGCUGUUGACAUAUAUAUUUCUUGCUGUUGACAUAUAUAUUUCUUGCUGUUGAUAUAGAUUUAGCAUGGAGGGGCAUGAGGGUGAUGAAGCAGAUUAUCAUCCUGAAGAAUUAGAAGGGCGUGAGGGUGAGAUGGAGCUGUUUAUUGUACCUCCAAAUCCUCCUCGUGUACGGCAGAAAGUUGCAAGUAAAAGGGGGAAGAGGCCAGCAUCUAGUGCACGUUCAGGAAGUGGACAAUCGGCACCACAACAGCAGCCUACAGCCGAAGCACAGCAGCAGCCUACAACCAAAGCACAACAGCAGCGCACUGCCUCCUCUAGCAGUAGAACACUGAAGUCAAAAGUAUGGUUGGACUUCACCAAGAUAUACAAAGAUGGUGAUGCUGUAGCUAAGUGCAACCAUUGCUCCGCUGAGCUGUUAGUUAAAUCUGGACACGGUACAUCUCAUCUCCUUAGGCACAUUGAAUCGUUGCAUAAGACUGAUCAAUCAACAAUGAAUAAUUUUUUCUUGAAAUCUAAAACAAAUGAUGAUGGAACAAAUGCAUUGAGAAAUGUUAAAUAUGAUGCUCAAGUAGCCAGACAUGGAGUCUCUAUUUAUCUUGUGUCCGGUUCUCAUCCAUUUACAACAGUUGAAGAAGAUGGUUUUAGAACAAUGAUGACUGCUUGUUGUCCAACAUUCAAGAGUAUUGGUCGGCACACAAUAAAAAGAGAGAUAAUGGCAAUGUUUCUUUCCCAGAAAAAAGAAUUGCUUGAAAUUAUUGUUGCUGCACCUGGUAGAGUAAGUUUCACAUCUGACAAUUGGAAAUCUGAAGUCACCAAGCAUAGCUAUAUUUGCAUUACUUGUCAUUACAUAGAUGCUGAUUGGAAACUAAACAAAAGAAUUGUCUGGUUCAAAAAAAUUGAUCCACCAUAUGAUGGAGCAUCUAUUGCCGAUGAGGUCCAUCUAGCUUUUCGUGAAUGGAAGAUUGAGAAGAAAGUAAUGUGCAUCACUCUUGAUAAUGCAGCCUAUAAUGAUAGAAUGAUUGUUUGCUUGCGAACCCACUUGUUUCAAGGUGCUUUACCUUUGUCCGGCAAAUUAUUUCAAAUUCGUUGUUGUGCACACAUACUGAAUUUGGUAGUUCAAUCUGGUUUGACAUUGAUUGAUGGUGCUGUAGCCAAACUUAGAGAUGGUAUAAUGUAUCUAAAGGCUUCAAGUAAUAGGCUACACAAGUUUUAUAGCACUGCUACAACUACUUUCAACUUAGAAGAAUCAAAGAAGUUGAAACCUGACAUGCCCAUUCGUUGGAAUUCAACAUAUACUAUGCUUGGCUCCUGUUUGUACUUUAAAAAAGUGUUGCAGUGGUAUUCUGAGAGGGAUAGCAUCUUCAAGGUGCAUUUUUCGCCAAGUGAGGAAAAUGGUCCAAGGUAUCUCAUAUGUAUCAGUUUUUGGAGGUUUUCUUCAAGGUAACUACUGUUUUCUCAGGAACAAAAUAUCCAACAGCCAACUUGUACUUCAUGAAUGUUUAUCUAGUCCAUACUGCUAUUAUUGAGGCUACCGCUGGUAUAAAUAGCUACAUGGGUCCAAUGUUGUUUGCUAUGAGAGAAAAGUUCAUGAAAUGUUGGUCUGACUAUAGAGUAUUUCUAUCUUGUGCUGCUAUUCUUGAUCCCCGUAUUAAGUUCAAGUUCUUGGCUUAUUCCUACUCCAAGCUGUAUGAAGAGAGUGAUACCAAGCAUCGUCUUGCUGAUGUUAGAAGUACAUUGACUUCUUUAUUUAAUGAAUAUGGUAGUGUUGUACCUGUUCAUGACAACUUACCCAAAACUAGUAUGUCAAGCACUUGUGGACUUGGUGCCUUUUCUGACUAUGAUCAGUAUGUGGAAAGCACGAGCACAGUUGAAGAGAAAUUUGAAUUGGAAUUGUACUUGGCUGAACCUACCAAGAGGUUGAAUGAGAACAUUGAUAUCUUGGAUUACUGGAGCAAGUCUGGAGCUAGGUAUCCGCAGCUAGCAAGAUUGGCACGUAAUAUCCUUGUUGUUCCCGUGUCAAGUGUUGCAUCAGAAUCUGCUUUCAGCUUGAUUAAGAAGGUUAUAACCCCGAGCCGAGCCUCACUUAAACCAAAGACGGUUGAGGCCUUGAUGUGUUUGCAAGAUUGGUAUCUGCAAAUUGGAGAAGAAAGAUGGUAUAUAGUUUAACUUGCUUUGUUUAUUUCUUCAUGCUAUGUACUAGAGUUUAUAGCUAACAUGUUGUUGUAGUUGUUGUAGGUAAUAAGAGAAAGGCAGAAGUGGUUGAGCUAGAUGAUGAAAAUUCUUCUUCCGAUGAUGAAUGUAACAUCCAUAUUCUUUGUUCAUGUCAACUUGUCAAGUUCAACAUGUACUUUAGCUAACCUGAUGUUUAUUGCAUUUUGUAGAGUUCUUGCUAGAGCACUGAGAUGAGUAGAAGAUUCGGAGAAGGCAUGUCGAGAUGGCAACCAACAGCUACUGGUCCUUAUUUUUGGUUCUAUGAAUUGGCCAUCUGGCAUGUAAUAAUACAUUUAUGCACUUGUGUUUCUAGAAACUCGAAACUGGAAUGUUUGAUACUAUUUGAUGUGAAAACAAUGCUCUUUAGUGCUGUUUUGGUGCUGAUGUGCUGCUGUUUUGGUGCUGUUGUGCUGCUCUUUAUGCACUUUUGGUGCUGCUGUGCUGCUGUUUAUGCACUUUUG
rnacentral:lncRNA from 1 species